AUACAUGCAAGUCGAACGCGUUGGCCCAAUUGAUUGAUGGUGCUUGCACCUGAUUGAUUUUGGUCGCCAACGAGUGGCGGACGGGUGAGUAACACGUAGGUAACCUGCCCAGAAGCGGGGGACAACAUUUGGAAACAGAUGCUAAUACCGCAUAACAGCGUUGUUCGCAUGAACAACGCUUAAAAGAUGGCUUCUCGCUAUCACUUCUGGAUGGACCUGCGGUGCAUUAGCUUGUUGGUGGGGUAACGGCCUACCAAGGCGAUGAUGCAUAGCCGAGUUGAGAGACUGAUCGGCCACAAUGGGACUGAGACACGGCCCAUACUCCUACGGGAGGCAGCAGUAGGGAAUCUUCCACAAUGGGCGCAAGCCUGAUGGAGCAACACCGCGUGAGUGAAGAAGGGUUUCGGCUCGUAAAGCUCUGUUGUUAAAGAAGAACACGUAUGAGAGUAACUGUUCAUACGUUGACGGUAUUUAACCAGAAAGUCACGGCUAACUACGUGCCAGCAGCCGCGGGUAAUACGUAGGUGGCAAGCGUUAUCCGGAUUUAUUGGGCGUAAAGAGAGUGCAGGCGGUUUUCUAAGUCUGAUGUGAAAGCCUUCGGCUUAACCGGAGAAGUGCAUCGGAAACUGGAUAACUUGAGUGCAGAAGAGGGUAGUGGAACUCCAUGUGUAGCGGUGGAAUGCGUAGAUAUAUGGAAGAACACCAGUGGCGAAGGCGGCUACCUGGUCUGCAACUGACGCUGAGACUCGAAAGCAUGGGUAGCGAACAGGAUUAGAUACCCUGGUAGUCCAUGCCGUAAACGAUGAGUGCUAGGUGUUGGAGGGUUUCCGCCCUUCAGUGCCGGAGCUAACGCAUUAAGCACUCCGCCUGGGGAGUACGACCGCAAGGUUGAAACUCAAAGGAAUUGACGGGGGCCCGCACAAGCGGUGGAGCAUGUGGUUUAAUUCGAAGCUACGCGAAGAACCUUACCAGGUCUUGACAUCUUGCGCCAACCCUAGAGAUAGGGCGUUUCCUUCGGGAACGCAAUGACAGGUGGUGCAUGGUCGUCGUCAGCUCGUGUCGUGAGAUGUUGGGUUAAGUCCCGCAACGAGCGCAACCCUUGUUACUAGUUGCCAGCAUUAAGUUGGGCACUCUAGUGAGACUGCCGGUGACAAACCGGAGGAAGGUGGGGACGACGUCAGAUCAUCAUGCCCCUUAUGACCUGGGCUACACACGUGCUACAAUGGACGGUACAACGAGUCGCGAACUCGCGAGGGCAAGCAAAUCUCUUAAAACCGUUCUCAGUUCGGACUGCAGGCUGCAACUCGCCUGCACGAAGUCGGAAUCGCUAGUAAUCGCGGAUCAGCAUGCCGCGGUGAAUACGUUCCCGGGCCUUGUACACACCGCCCGUCACACCAUGAGAGUUUGUAACACCCAAAGUCGGUGGGGUAACCUUUUAGGAGCCAGCC
rnacentral:rRNA from 1 species